GCCGGGCGCGGUGGCUCAAGCCUGUAAUCCCAGCACUUUGGGAGGCCGAGACGGGCGGAUCACGAGGUCAGGAGUUCGAGACCAUCCUGGCUAACACGGUGAAACCCCGUCUCUACUAAAAAAUACAAAAAACUAGCCGGGCGAGNNNNNNNNNNAUUUUUUGUAUUUUUUAGUAGAGACGGGGUUUCACCAUGUUGGCCAGGCUGGUCUUGAACUCCUGGCCUCAAAUGAUCCACCCACCUUGGU
rnacentral:SRP_RNA from 1 species